AUGGGGCAGUGGGGCUGGAGAGGGGAAGCCACCUUUCUUAGCAAGUCUGGGGUCUGCAGCCAGGACGGUUGGCCAGAAGCCUCUGCUGUUUAUGGGGGGUGGCUCUUGGGGAGGUGGCUCUUGGGAUCUCCAUGGGUGUCUGAGCUGAGUGUUGCCAGACAAGCCUCCCAGUGGGGUCGCAGAGGAAGCUGCAGGCAUGCCGUCCAGCCAGUGGUCCUGAGCAGCUGCCUGAGCAGUGGAGCAGGGCAGGGGCUGCAGGACAGGGUGCCUGGGCCUUGGGUGGCACCAUGUGACGAUGCCACUGCUGUCCCUGGCUCAGCAGCUGUCCUUGGUCAUGGAAGGUAUGUCGGCCUGGAUGGGGAGUUGGGCUCAAUGACUGGACUAGGGAUGAGUGUAUCCAAUGUGUAUCCAAUGUGCAUGUGUGUGCCUGUGUGCAUAUGCAUGUGUGUGUGCAUAAUGUAUGUGUGUGCCUGUGUGUGUUCGUGUGUGUGCACAUGCAUGUGUGCCCCUCUGCGUUCGUGUGUGUGCAUAUGCAUGUGGGCCUAUAUGUGUUGGUGUGUGUGCGCAUAUGCAUGUGCGUGCCUGUGUGCAUAUGCAUGUGUGUGCAUAAUGUAUGUGUGUGUUCGUGUGUGUGCACAUGCAUGUGUGCGCCUCUGCGUUCAUGUGUGUGCAUAUGCAUGUGUGCCUAUAUGUGUUGGUGUGUGUGUGCAUAUGCAUGUGCGUGCCUGUGUGCAUAAUGUAUGUGUGCCUGUGUUCAUGUGUGUGCAUUCGUGUAUAUGUGCACAUAUACAUGUGCGUGCCUGUGUGUGUUCGUGUUUGUGUGCGUGUACAUGCCUGUGUGUGCACGUGUGUGUUUGUGUGUGCAUAUGCAUGUGUGCCUGUGUGUGCACAUGCCUGUGUGUGUGCAUUUGUGUAUGUGCGUGUCUGCGUUCAUGUGUGUGCACAUGUGUGUGCCUGUGGGUUUGUGUGCAUAUGCAUGUGUGCGUUUGUGUGCACAUGCCUGUGUGUGCAUUUAUGUAUGUGCGUGCCUGUGUGCGUUCAUGUAUGUGCACAUAUGCCUGUGUAUAUGUAUGCAUUUGCCUGUGUGCGUUCCUAUGUGUGCACAUAUGCCUCUGUGUGUGUGCAUUUGUUUGUGGAUAUGUAUGUGUGUGCCUGUGUGCGUUUGUGUGUGCAUAUACAUGUGUGCCUGUGUGCGUUCGUGUGUGUGCAUAUACAUGUGUGCAUUUGUGUGCAUAUGUGCGUGCCUGUGUGCAUUCGUGUGUGUGCGCAUAUGCCUGUGUGUGCCUGUGUGCAUUUGUGUGUGCAUAUGUAUGUGUGUGCCUGUGCGCAUUUGUGUGUGCAUAUAUGCGUGCCUGUGCACGUGCGUGUGUGUGUGUGCGCGCGCAUGCACAAGCAACGGGCUAG
rnacentral:lncRNA from 13 species